rnacentral:rRNA from 1 species
UUUUAUUUGAGAGUUUGAUCCUGGCUCAGGAUGAACGCUGGCGGCGUGCCUAACACAUGCAAGUUGAGCGAUUUACUUCGGUAAAGAGCGGCGGACGGGUGAGUAACGCGUGGGUAACCUACCCUGUACACACGGAUAACAUACCGAAAGGUAUGCUAAUACGGGAUAAUAUAUUUGAGAGGCAUCUCUUAAAUAUCAAAGGUGAGCCAGUACAGGAUGGACCCGCGUCUGAUUAGCUAGUUGGUAAGGUAACGGCUUACCAAGGCGACGAUCAGUAGCCGACCUGAGAGGGUGAUCGGCCACAUUGGAACUGAGACACGG